rnacentral:SRP_RNA from 1 species
GCCAGGUAUAGUGGUGCAUGCCUGUAAUCCCAGCUACUUGGGAGGCUGAGGUGGGAGAAUUGCUUGAGCCCAGGAGUCCAAGGCUGCAGUGAGCUAUAAUUGCACCACUGCACUCCAGCCUGAGGAACAGAGCAAGACUCCAUCUUUA